rnacentral:lncRNA from 1 species
CACAGUUUGGCUCUUUGAUUUAAUUGUCAAUCAGCUUUCCAAAGCUGCCCUAGGCAGGUACUGAAAACACAUUUUUAACACUUAACAUUUACCUCUAUGAUGUUUAAUAUGUUGUCAAUCUAAAUGUUUGAGUACCGUAUUUUUCGCACUAUAAGAAUCACUUAAAAUCCUUUAAUUUUCCCAAAAAUCGCCAGUGCGCCUUAUAAUCCACUGCGCCUUAUGCGUGAAUUUUACCUGUAAGGUAUUAAGGAGCAGAAAAGCUCCUCCAUUAAAGUGCAGCGUUACACAAGAGUUUCAGUUUAGUUCUCCAUCAGUGUUAGCAUUAGCUGCUAACAAUGUGAAGCAUUAGCUCGUUUGCCCUUCAGAGCAGGUAGCUGAGCAGAGUUAGUCUGGAAGAAACAGAUGCAGAAAUGGCCUCAAACUGCUUCAUAUUCUUAACUGUGUGGAUACACCUCGUUUUAUCCGGAAUCAGAGCUGAAACAUCUUGCAGAAAUGAGCUUAUUAGCAGCAUCGAAAUCUCCACCAACCUGCAGUCUGAUGUUUUGCUGCCCUGUAACUUCAACCCAAGCCUCCUCGGAUCAGACCUGACUGCAGAUAUAGCAGCAGUGUGGAGUUAUAUAAAUAUAACAGAAGAUCCUUUUAUGGAGAUCAGUCUGAAGAGUGGAGUAAUGUUCUGGAAUAACAGAGAUGGACGAAUUAAUCCGUUCCCUAAACUCUCAACAUCUGGAAACUUCUCCAUCCUCCUCCAUAAAGUGAAUAAAUCUGAUCUGGGUCUGUACCGCUGUGAACUGUUUAACGAGACCAACUGCAGCAUCGCUUAUCAGGAGAUCCAUCUGACUGAAACAUCAUGCAAAAAUGAACUUAUCAGAAGCACCAACAUGGGCGGCACGGUGGCGCGGUGGGUAGCACCUCCGCCUCACAGCAAGACGGCCUGGGUUCGAUUCCCGGCUGGGGCGACCCGGGUCUUUCUGUGUGGAGUUUGCACGUUCUCCCCGUGUCUGCGUGUCUGCGUGGGUUUCCUCCGGGUUCUCCAGUUUCCUCCCACAGUCCAAAGACGGCACGUUUAGGCUAAUUGGAACUUGAUUGAAAUUGCCCCUUAGGUGUGAGUGUGUGAGUGUGUGAGUGAAUGUGUCUGUGUGUCUGUCUGUGUCUGUCUGCCCUGCGAUGGAUUGGCGGCCUGUCCAGGGUGUAUCCUGCCUUCCGNGGGUGUGAGUGUGUGAGUGGGUGAGUGAAUGUGUCUGUGUGUCUGUCUGCCUUGCGAUGGCUUAGAUCGUAGAACCUUGUGAUUAGACAGUACCUUUCCUGCCGCGAAAUAGCCGACGAGCUGAUGUGGCGUUAAACUCGACUACCCAACCCAACCCAAGCACCAACAUCUCCACUGAUCUGCAGUCUGAUGUUCUGCUGCCUUGUAAAUUCAACUCAAGCCUCCUCGGAUCAGAUCUGACUGCAGAUAUAGCAGCAGUGUGGAGUUAUAUAAAUAAAACAGAAGAUCCUUUUAUGGAGAUCA